rnacentral:rRNA from 1 species
UACGGGGGGGGCAAGCGUUGUUCGGAAUUACUGGGCGUAAAGGGCUCGUAGGCGGCCAACUAAGUCAUACGUGAAAUCCCUCGGCUUAACCGGGGAACUGCGUCUGAUACUGGAUGGCUUGAGUUCGGAAGAGGUGAGUGGAAUUCCUGGUGUAGCGGUGAAAUGCGCAGAUAUCAGGAGGAACACCAAUAGCGAAGGCAGCUCGCUGGGACGGUACUGACGCUGAGGCGCGAAAGCGUGGGGAGCGAACAGG